GUACUAUUUGGGUUUUCCCCGAUUUUAGCAAUUUUUUCCCUGACCUGACUGUUUCAAGUUAUUUUAUUGAUAAAUAAGAUAAAAUUGUGGAUGGGAGUUUAGUCAAACUUAGUUUAAUACAAAUAUGAGAACUUCGAGUUUUAGUAAAUAACCCCCUAAAAGUCUCACACACAUUAGUUCUAUUAGGACAAACCAUAACCCAUAUACAUAAGAAUAACAAUCUUUGUAAUAGUUAUGUCCACCAUUAACAACACUGUUUAGGCACAAGGCCUCUUUGCUAUACUAAAUAUAAAUUAAAAAACUGUGAGGAAUCUCAACCUGAACAAACUAAAUGAGCAACAAACUAAAAAGAAAAGCUUGCAAUAUUUAUUCUUUUUGUCUAUUUACCGAGUUAAUCUAAAAUAAUGUUUUCCUUUACCAGGUCUGCAAUGAACAUGGAUUUGACAAACUAUGCCCGGACCCAACUGGCUGGAUAGACCUCGAACAAUGUGUUGGAUCAGGAGGAUUUGGAGUAAUCCAUAAGGCAUGGCAUUUUAAGGAAAAGAAAGAAGUGGCCAUAAAAGUGAUAAAAGACCUUAGGGAUAAUGAAGAGAUCCUUGCUGAACUGUACGUACUUGAACGCGUUUCUGGCCACGACAACUUCCCUGCCUUUUAUGGAGCCUUUUAUCUACGGCCCAGCAUUUCAAAUGAAGAGGCGCUAUGGAUUGCUAUGACAAUGUGUGCUGGUGGCUCCGUAGACGCCUUAAUUAGGAGCACGCCCAAUAGAUCCUUGGAAGAAUCCUGGAUUUCAUACAUAUGCAAGAAAGUUUUACAGGUAAGACAGAUAUUAACCCCUUCAUUGCU